CUACGGGUUGCUGCAGUGGGGAAUUUUGCGCAAUGGGCGAAAGCCUGACGCAGCAAUACCGCGUGAGUGAAGAAGGCCUUUGGGUCGUAAAGCUCUUUUCUGAAGGAAGAUAGUGACGGUACUUCAGGAAUAAGCACCGGCUACUCCGUGCCAGCAGCCGCGGUGAUACGGAGGGUGCAAGCGUUGUUCGGAUUUACUGGGCGUAAAGGGCGCGUAGGCGGCAUAGCAAGUUAAGGGUGAAAUCCCGGGGCUUAACUCCGGAACUGCUCUUAAAACUGCUAAGCUAGAGAUAGUCAGAGGCGGGUGGAAUUCCUAGUGUAGAGGUGAAAUUCGUAGAUAUUAGGAGGAACACCGGUGGCGAAGGCGGCCCGCUGGGGCUUAUCUGACGCUAAGGCGCGAAAGCGUGGGGAGCAAACGGGAUUAGAUACCCCUGUAGUC
rnacentral:rRNA from 1 species